GCACUGCUGAAGAACCCCAUAAUAGGAUGAAACGGCCGUCCAGUGC
rnacentral:hammerhead_ribozyme from 1 species